AAGUCGUAACAAGGUUUCCGUAGGUGAACCUGCGGAAGGAUCAUUAACACGUAUCCAAACGUUAAAACCCCCCUGUGAACCUUCAACACCAAUGCUCUCCAGACGGUUGAAUUUUGGCUAUCCCUAGUAAAUCAUUGCUUGGAAAGAUUUUUGAGCGGAUUUGCAUUAGUAGCAUUCUGGUGCCCCCAAGCAACCACUGAUCUGAAAGUGUUUGGUGAAUUGUGUAAGGGCGGCGCUGUCAGCGCUCGCUGGAGGCCCACACGGCCGGCGACCGGGGUCCAUUACCACGACCUACUACGUGGCCCAGUUUACCACCAUAACAUGACGCCCCGCGCGCGCCGAAAGGUUGUACGCACCCCUAAAACGAACAACUGUUAACAAUGGAUAUCUUGGUUCUC
rnacentral:misc_RNA from 1 species